GUGCUCGCUUACGCAGCACAUAUACUAAAACCGGAAUGAUGCAGAGAAGAUUAGCAUGGCCCCUGCGCAAGGAUGACAUGCACAUUUGUGAAGCAUUCCAUAUUUUA